rnacentral:snoRNA from 1 species
GCCUUUCUGUUCCCUUUCCCACGGGAGCCUCGACACUGGUCUUGGUGGUCGUGAAGGAGGAAGGGGACACUGAAGCCCACCUCACAACCGCGUCACGUGCAAUGCUGAGCAGCUGGUGUAGCGGUUGCGAUUAUUACUGCA